rnacentral:lncRNA from 1 species
CCAGAACAGAGUUAAGUGUUUAUGGUAGACGGAUGUUUAGUUUGCUCAGAAUCAGCCUUCUCCAAGGUGAUACCUUCUGAUUGUGAUUGCUUAUGCUAACAGGGCAUGAUGGAAGCUGUAGUCUGAAAUCUUUGAAGGACACAAAAUUAGGGAAAUAUCCUCUGCUUCCAUCUUUUGGUCUGCAUCUCCUUUUUGUAUUUUUUUCCUCUCCUCCUUGCUCAGAAGUCUUUUUCUCUCUCCUCCAGCUGAAGGAAAGGUGAAUUUGGGAGAAUUCAUGAAAUGGGUGAGAGCAGUUCAGCUGCUUCCUCAAUCCUCUGAUGGGAAAAUGAAGCUGGACAACCUGAAGGAUGAGAUAACUGUUGAGACGGCCCCCCACAUAAUUGUGGAUGGAUGGAGUAAAGGUGGGAUUAAAUCAAUCUGUGGAAAAGGGGGGGGGCAGAAGGAGAAUUCCAUCCAGUCUCCUUUUCAGAUGUUCCCAUUUGGCAGGUGUGCCCAUGGUACUCAUGGGACUCAUUGUCAAGUCGGACUUAAGUUGAACCAGUGCUUCAACUCAGACUUGACUCAGAGUUUUGGGGUUUUUUUAAUGACUCAGACUCCCUUUUUUCUGGGGGGAAAACUUGUUUUUAAUAGGGACUCAGACUUGGAGUUUGAAACUCGGGACUUGGUACCAAAGACUCAGAUUUGGGCUCGGACCUAAAGACUUUCCGACAUCCCUGGCCCAUACAAACACAUGCAUGCAGAGAAAAAUAUAUCAACAAUGGGAUAACGCUGGCAUAUAGCCUGCUGUUUCUGCCUCUUGGGGUUGUGUUUCAUUUAACUCAUUGGUCCCCAACCUUGGGCCUCCAGAUGUUCUUGGACUACUACUCCCAGAAGUCUUCACCACCACCUCUGCUGGCCAGGAUUUCUGGCAGUUGAAGUCCAAGAACAUCUGGAGGCCCAAGGUUGGGGACCACUGAUUUAACUGAUCUGUAACUGCUGAUGAGUAGACAUUUUAUAUUAGGGAGUGUCUGCUAAAACAAUGGCAAUCCACACCUGCCACUUACUCUAUAAGACACUCGGCAACUUUGAAAGGGCAAAGGGGCUUCCUAAUCUUUUGUAGUGUUCCUCUUUGCUACUGUUUUUGAAAGUGAAGACGAUGAUUUAAAUAAAUGUGUAGGGUGUUACA